GUCUUUUGUCUUUUUAGGGCCACACUUCUGGCAUAUAGAGGUUCCAAGGCUAGGGGUCCAAUCGGAGCUACAGCUGCCGGCCACAAGCCACAGCCACAGCCACAGCCACAGCCACAGCCACAGCCACAGCAACGUGAGUUCCGAGCCGAGUCUGUGACCUACACCACAGCUCAUGGCAAAACAGGAUCCUUAACCCACUGAGCGAGGCCAGCGAAGCCAUGAAGGGAACUCUCUACUCCACCCAUAUAUAUAUUUGGCUAGUGGUCAAAUGCGAGCUGCUGCUGAAGUCUACACCACAGCCAGGGCAGCAGUGGAUCUGAGCCGCAUCUCCAUGCAGCAAUACCGUAUCCUUAACCCACUGAGCGAGGCCAAGAAUCUACGCACAUCCUCAUGAAGACUACAUGGGUUCUUAACCCAGCUGAAUUACAACAGGAACUCCACAAAUCCACCCAUCUUAACAGGUAUUUCUCUAUUCAAAAUGCUUUAGUGAUGCCCCAUUAUCCAUAACUGCAGCUUCUCCAAAAUCUGUGCCUGUGGAGUUCCCAUCGUGGCGCAGUGGUUAAUGAAUCUGACUAGGAACCAUGAGGUUGCAGGUUUGAUCCCUGGCCUUGAUCAGGGGGUUAAGGAUCUGGCUGUGAGCUGAGGUGUAGAUCGCAGACGUGGCUCAGAUCCCUCCUUGCUGUGGCUCUGGCGUAGGCCGACAGCUGCAGCUCUGAUUGGACCCCUAGCCUGGGAACCUCCAUAUGCCACGGGAGCAGCCCCAGAAAAGAUAAACAAAAAAAAAAAAAAAAAAAAAAUCUGUGCUUGGAGCCUUGUGUCCCAUUUCCCACCUUUAUCCCCCUAUGUCCCAGUCCCUACACCAGCUUGAGAAAGCUGCAUGACGUAUACUGGUUGUAAGUUUGCUUUCAAGGGGAAUAUGUGUCAAAAAGACUGCCUUUCUUCACUACACUUUGACCCCCAGCCUGCUGCUAUUUUAGACACAAGGAAUGAGUCACUGAAAUUUAUAUCAACCUUGCCCCUGGCUCAGUCUUGUCGUAGGGACUCUACUUGCUGUAUGAAAUAAAUUAACAGCAGCAGUUUAACUUGUCCCCAUACCUUUAGGAUAAAAUUUUGUAUAGUAAACCACCCAGCCAUAAAUUUUAUUCCCAUGCUCUAGGAAUGCCAUUCAACAAUUCCAGCAUUCUUGUUGUUGUUGUCGUUGUCUUUUUAAGGCUGCACCCCGGGCAUUUGGAGGUUUCCAGACUAGAGGUUGAAUCGCAGCUGUAGCCCCUGGCCUAUACCACAGCCACAGCAACACCAGAUCCAAGCUGCAUCCGCAGCCAACACCAUAGCCCAUGACAAUGCCAGAUUCUUAACCAAUUGAGCAAGGCCAGGGAUCAAACCUGUAUCCUCAGGGGUACCAGUUAGAUUCGUUUCCAUUGAGCCACAAUAGGAACUCCCUGGCAUUUCAUUUACAGAAAUGAGGUUCUUUUUCUUCCUCUCUUCUCCUGUCCUUAUACUGACUGCUCUCUCUGAAGCUGUCCCUACUUUUCCCUUCCCCAUCCCAGGUAUAGAAUCAGUCACUCUCUUCCCUGACAGCAUGUGGCUUUUCCUUCUCUUGGAUAUUUUUCACAUUCUGCUUGGUGUCGUGAUGAUGAUGUGGGUAAGUCUGGUCUCCAUGGCAGCCACAUCCAUUGGUUCCAUCCUCAUGUCAUUCCUGGGUCCUGACCACCCCUCCUUGAAACUCUCUUCCCUCAUAGCCACUCCACUCCUUUUAUUCCACCUAUAAUCACUCUUCCUCAAUAUCUUUCACUUGCUCGUCUCUCUUCCCACUCCUUAUCUCAGAGGUUCUUACACUCUUUCUGGUGCAACAGCAGAGGUCUAGCCUGAGCUAACACCAAAUUCAUAUGACAGGAGCCUUUUCCGAAGCUGGGAGGGGAAGAAAGAGUGAUAACAAUUUCCUCGUGUUAGGGUUCCUAUCAUUUUUCCUGAAAGGUUGCCACCUAACUGUGAGCAAUGGUCAGCAAAUGACAUAAGCAAGCAAAUAUUAAAGAAAAACAGAAAAUUAAUCAUAUAUCUACAUAUAUAUAUAUAUAAAACUUAAGAGUUUUGCAUUUAUGGGUUACAACUUCAUAUUAUGCAUUAUUUAGCAUUUCACUAACAAAACUGGUGAUCCGCAUUCUCAUAACAUAAUGAAACAUAACCACUUUUCUACAUGUGUGUACAUACACACCUGUAAUGUAAAUUACACAUAUUAAAUAUCAACAUACAAUUGAAUCCCUCUCUGUGUAAUAUCACAACAGGUAAAAAUAGCCCAGUGGAACUCUCAGGUAUUGCAGAUGUGAAUGCAAAACUGUCCCACCAUUUUGGAGACCAAUUUGGCAGUUUUUUUAUGCAACAGAACAUGUAUAGUUCCAGCCAUUCCAUCCUUAGAUAUUUACUCAAAACAACAUGUCCACAUAAAGAUUUGUAUACUGGGAGUUCCCCUCAUGGUGCAGUGGAAACGAAUCCAACUAGGAACCAUGAGGUUGAGGGUUCAAUCCCUGGCCUCGUUCAGUGGGUUAAGGAUCUAGCAUUGCCAUGAGCUGUGGUGUAGGUUGCAGACGCUGCUCGGAUCCUGUGUUGCUGUAGCUGUGGCAUAGGCCAGCAGCUGUAGCCUAGGAACCUCCAUGUGCCGCAAGUGUGGCCCUAAAAAAAAAAAAAAAAAAAAAAAUAAGAAAAUAAAUAAAUAAAAUAAAAAAGGAACGACAACAACAAAAAAGACUUGUAUACAAAAGUUCACAGCAACUUUCGUAGCCUGAAACUGGAAAAAUAUACAGGUCUACCAACGUGUAAAUAAAAUGUGAUAUAGCCACACAAUUCAGUAACAUUCAGCAAUUUAAAAACUAUUUAUAGGGAGUUCACUUGUGCCACAGUGGGUUAAGGAUCUGGUGUGGUCACCGCAGCAGUUCAGGUCACCGCUGUGGCGCAGGUUCAGUCCCUGGCUUGGGAACUUCCACGUGCCAUUACUGUGGCCAAAACCAAAACAAAACAAAAAAGAAAUAGAAAAUGAGAGAGAGAAAAGCUUCUCCCCAGCUUCCUGGUGUAAAAAUAAAAUGUAUCAGUUCUUAAACUUGCCUAUGCAUCAGAAUCUCCUGGAGAGCCUGUUAGAACAUAGAAUUUUAACCCUCUCUUCAGAGCUUCUGAUCCCGUUGGUCUGGAGUGGGACCUGGUAGUUGGCAUUUCUAGCAAGUUCCCAGGUGAUGCUAGUCUGGGGACCGCACGUGGAGAAGCACUGCUUUAUACCCUGGUCUUCUGGAUUCUUAUAUAGUUCUGAAACAGCCUUACCCAUGAAUUAUAUAAAAAGUCUAAUUUAUUUCACUAGUUACACUAUCCACACUAACAGUAUUAAGAAAGGUCAAAAGAAAACAUGCCAUGGUUCUUGGAAUAUUGGAAUAGAUGGACAAACUAUUCCUGCUUCAGAUACCUUUCUGUACGGUUGAGUUUUUCUUCUCAAUCCUUAGGGUACUAAGUAGCUUUUGUGUUUCUGACAUUAAUUUUGCCACUCUUUUAUCAGGAAAAGUGGACAUUACACUAUGUUCUGCUGAUAAAUGACAGUGUCAAAGUUCAAAAUGUACAUCACUUUCUAUUGUCAGAUGAAAAAGAUAGAUAAGAAAAUUGUGAGGACAGAAGUAGAGGGUGAAAAGAAGAAAUUACAUGAAAAGAUGGAGAAAGAGGGAAGAAAACCACAAAUCACAAUGGAAACAGAAAUUCCCCAAGGGACAAGAACCAGCGUUUGAGAGAUUAAUAGUCAAGGGAGCAAGGAAAGAAGAAAUGGCUAUAUGAGCAGGAAGUUUACUCUAGAGGUGAAAAGAAAACCACGGUGGAAAAAAAGGAUUUGAAAUAUAAAAUAAUGUUGGGUAAAACAAAACAAAAACAGAAGAUAGCCAAGAGAGAAGGAAGAGCUAUUUCUUUUUCUAAUUAUUAAAUGCAACAUUUAGAGAAGAAGAUAUAGUAACAUACAAUGAUUUGUGAAGAGAGGAAGGAAAGGAUCCAUUUUUUAAAUAUUCUCGUCUUAUUUGCUGGAUAAACAUUCAACUCCAGGUUAGUGGAAACCAACUGCAGUUGUUCAACCCUUUAGAGGUCAGAGUCUGAAAUGGCCAGAUAUGUCACUAGAGGGAGCGGGUAGAUUUGGGGUAUAGUAAGCAUAACAUUGCCCCCUGUCCCCAAGAUGUCCAGGUCCUAAUCCCUGGA
rnacentral:lncRNA from 1 species